rnacentral:rRNA from 1 species
CGGAGGCAGCAGUGGGGAAUAUUGGACAAUGGAGGCAACUCUGAUCCAGCCAUGCCGCGUGAAUGAUGAAGGCCUUAGGGUUGUAAAGUUCUUUAAGUGGGGAAGAUAAUGACGGUACCCACAGAAUAAGCACCGGCUAACUUCGUGCCAGCAGCCGCGGUAAUACGAAGGGUGCUAGCGUUGUUCGGAAUUACUGGGCGUAAAGCGCGUGUAGGUGGUCUUCUCAGCCAGAGGUGAAAUCCCGGAGCUUAACUUCGGAAUUGCCUUUGGUACUGGAAGGCUAGAGUCUGUUAGAGGAUAGUGGAAUUCCUAGUGUAGCGGUGAAAUGCGUAGAUAUUAGGAGGAACACCAGUGGCGAAGGCGGCUAUCUGGGACAGUACUGACACUAAGACGCGAAAGCGUGGGGAGCAAACAGGAUUAGAUACCCGCGUAGUCCG